rnacentral:rRNA from 1 species
UACGAAGGGGGCUAGCGUUGUUCGGAAUUACUGGGCGUAAAGGGCGCGCAGGCGGCUCUUCAAGUCAGGCGUGAAAGCCCCGGGCUCAACCUGGGAACUGCGCUUGAGACUGGAGAGCUAGAGUUCGGGAGAGGAGAGUGGAAUUCCCAGUGUAGAGGUGAAAUUCGUAGAUAUUGGGAAGAACACCAGUGGCGAAGGCGGCUCUCUGGACCGAUACUGACGCUGAGGCGCGAAAGCGUGGGGAGCAAACAGG